CCGGAAAGCAGCGGCAGCGGCGGGAAGGGGCUCCAAGGAGCAAAGAAUGGCGGCGAGGCGCUGCCGGGAGCAGCAGAAGGCAGCGAGGAGAAGCCGUGAAGCUGCAGAGCGGCGGAGUUGUCUUUUUUCCUUCCCAGGCUGGAAUCUUCCUUCCGCCUUGCUGUGCUGUGGGGAGCAGCUGGAGGCGAUUCUCUUGCAUGAGCGAGGGGUGCAGCCUGGUUCCACCCGGCCCUGAGCUCACGGAAGGGCUGGCUGCCCGCAGGGAAGGAGCUCUGCUUGAGGUCUGCUCCUGGGUGGGCUUUUGUGUGCCCUGUUCCUCAGGAAGGGGUAAGCAGUGCUGGGGUUAUUUGCUAGAUGGAGUGCGUUUGUGUUUCUUGGCUUCCUGAAAGCUGUGUCUGUCUUUUUCACUGCCGGCUGGAGAGACUCGGGGGAGAAAGCGUUGUGCUUGAUGGCACGGUUUCCUUGGGCAAAGGAUGCUUUGGCAGCAGAGGUUUGCUGUCAGGAGGCAUGAAAGCACUGAAGCCAAUGCUGCCGUGCCCUGGGCCCAGAGACAUCAGCUCCCAGCACGUCCCUGGCGGUGGAUGUGUGCAAGCUCUGUGUCUGCCAGUGGUUGCUGCAAAGGCUUUGUGGUCAGCUGUGCGUGGCUGUUUUGCUCUUGAGGGCGUGGGAACAGAGGGCAACACGCUGAUGGGAGUGAUGGUGUCCUGCUCAGCAAUGGAUGUGCUGGGUGGCAGAAGAGGAUUCUUGGCCGAGCGUGGAAAAUCUCUCUGCUCCUUCCUGAAGGACGCAAUCUUCCACUUGGAAAGGGCCUCCCAAGGAUCCCUGGUAUCCUCUGAGAGCUCUGAGCUGCCGCACCAAUUUGAAGCUGACUUCAUUUUUGGUCUUCCCCUUCAGCAGAAAAGCUCAGACAGCCGAGCCAAGCGAGACGCUGGAUUUCCUUUGGCAUCAAGGAAAGCAUCGUGAGAUGUUCUGAUGCCCUCUCACAAUUCUUUCUCCCUCCACCAGCACCAGAGCUGGCGUCCAAAGACGCAAUGACACUGCCACAGGCAUUGUGGAGAUUUGUAUGGGAUAGGGCCAUGGUAAGGCUUUAUUGACAGAGGGAGGG
ensembl:lncRNA